UGAGACCCUCGCGAGGUCUGAGAGUCACUGGAGCUACCAGAAGCACCAUGGGGCCCUGGGGAGAGCCCGAACUCCUGGUGUGGCGCCCAGAGGCGGUAGCUUCAGAGCCUCCAGUGCUUGUGGGGCUGGAGGUGAAGUUGGGGGCCCUGGUGCUGCUGCUGGUGCUCAACCUUCUCUGCAGCCUGGUGCCCGUCUGUGUGCCACGCAGGCCAGGAGCUAACCAUGAAGCCUCAGCUUCCUGCCAGAAAGCCCUGAGUUUAGUAAGCUGUUUUGCGGGGGGCGUCUUUUUAGCCACCUGUCUCCUGGACCUGCUGCCUGACUACCUGGCUGCUAUAGAUGAGGCCCUGGUAGCCUUGCACGUGACACUCCAGUUCCCGCUGCAAGAGUUCAUCCUGGCCAUGGGCUUCUUCCUGGUCCUGGUGAUGGAGCAAAUCACAUUGGCUUACAAGGAGCAGUCAGGGCCGCCACCUCUGGAGGAAAUAGGGCUCUGCUGGGAACAGUGAACGGUGGGCCACAGCAUUGGCAUGAUGGGCCAGGAGUUCCACAGGCGAGUGCAACGAGACCAGGCUCGGGCCAUGGAGCUGUGCCUGGCUUUGCUGCUCUACAAGGGGAUCCUGGCUGUCAGUCUGUCCCUCCGGCUGCUGCAGAUCCACCUUAGGGCACAGGUGGUGGCUGGCUGUGGGAUCCUCUUCUCAUGCAUGACACCUCUAGGCAUCGGGCUGGGUGCAGCUCUGGCAGAGUCGGCAGGACCUCUGCACCAGCUGGCCCAGUCUGUGCUAGAGGGCAUGGCGGCUGGCACCUUUCUCUAUAUUACCUUCCUGGAAAUCCUGCCCCAGGAGCUGGCCAGUUCUGAGCAAAGGAUCCUCAAGGUCAUUCUGCUCCUAGCAGGCUUUGCCCUGCUCACUGGCCUGCUCUUCAUCCAAAUCUAGGGGGCUU